CGACCAUAUGUGUUGAAACAUCGGUUCUCGUACGAUCACCGAAGUUAAGCAACGUCGAGCCUGGUCAGUACCUAGAUGGGUGACCGCUUGGGAAUACCAGAUGCUGUAAG
rnacentral:rRNA from 1 species